AUUUAGAGGAAGGAGAAGUCGUAACAAGGUUUCCGUAGGUGAACCUGCGGAAGGAUCAUUGUCGAAACUUGUCAACCGGUAUGACCCGAGGACGCGUUUAUUCUCAGUGGAGCGAUCUUCGCAUCCAUACGCUGGUGGACUUGCGGGUGCCCUUCCUAAAGGUCUCUUUAGGAUCUCAAGAACGGCUAACUCGUCACACUAGUGCACAAAAUUAUCGGCACGGAAUGUGCCAAGGAAAUUUAUCUCGGAGCAUGCUUUCGUGGUCCACCUCAAUGGUGUGCGCCGAAGAAAGCUCCUCUAACCUAAACAAAAAGACUCUCGGCAACGGAUAUCUUGGCUCUCGCAUCGAUGAAGAACGCAGCGAAAUGCGAUACUUGGUGUGAAUUGCAGAAUCCCGUGAAUCAUCGAGUUUUUGAACGCAAGUUGCGCCCGAAGCCGUUAGGCCAAGGGCACGUCUGCCUGGGCGUCACACACAACUCCGCCCCCAACAUCCCGCCCAAGAUUCAUUGGGCGGGAUUGGGUGGGGUGCAAAUGCUGGCCUCCCGUGCUCGACUCGUGCGGUUGGCCGAAAUUUAGAUUAUGUGGCGUCAUGGUUCACAACGAAUGGUGGAUACAUCGUCCCUACCAUUUUCGCCACGUAUUUCCCCCGGGAUUCCAUCCGAGUUAUGGAGAUCCUGCAUGCGACCCCAGGUCAGGUGGGAUUACCCGCUGAGUUUAAGC
rnacentral:misc_RNA from 1 species